rnacentral:rRNA from 1 species
AGUCGAGCGAGUCUGCCUUGAAGAUCGGAGUGCUUGCACUCUGUGAAACAAGAUACAGGCUAGCGGCGGACGGGUGAGUAACACGUGGGUAACCUGCCUAAGAGAUCGGGAUAACACCUGGAAACAGAUGCUAAUACCGGAUAACAACAGAUGAUGCCUAUCAACUGUUUAAAAGAUGGUUCUGCUAUCACUCUUGGAUGGACCUGCGGUGCAUUAGCUAGUUGGUAGGGUAACGGCCUACCAAGGCGAUGAUGCAUAGCCGAGUUGAGAGACUGAUCGGCCACAUUGGGACUGAGACACGGCCCAAACUCCUACGGGAGGCAGCAGUAGGGAAUCUUCCACAAUGGACGCAAGUCUGAUGGAGCGACGCCGCGUGAGUGAAGAAGGGUUUCGGCUCGUAAAGCUCUGUUGUUGGUGAAGAAGGACAGGGGUAGUAACUGACCUUUGUUUGACGGUAAUCAAUUAGAAAGUCACGGCUAACUACGUGCCAGCAGCCGCGGUAAUACGUAGGUGGCAAGCGUUGUCCGGAUUUAUUGGGCGUAAAGCGAGUGCAGGCGGCUCGAUAAGUCUGAUGUGAAAGCCUUCGGCUCAACCGGAGAAUUGCAUCAGAAACUGUCGAGCUUGAGUACAGAAGAGGAGAGUGGAACUCCAUGUGUAGCGGUGAAAUGCGUAGAUAUAUGGAAGAACACCGGUGGCGAAGGCGGCUCUCUGGUCUGUUACUGACGCUGAGGCUCGAAAGCAUGGGUAGCGAACAGGAUUAGAUACCCUGGUAGUCCAUGCCGUANACGAUGAGUGCUAAGUGUUGGGAGGUUUCCGCCUCUCAGUGCUGCAGCUAACGCAUUAAGCA